UACGUAGGGUGCGAGCGUUGCCCGGAUUUAUUGGGCGUAAAGGGCGCGUAGGCGGCCACGCACGUCUGUUGUGAAAUCGCCCGGCUCAACUGGGCGGGGUCAGCGGAUACGGUGUGGCUAGAGCAAGCUAGGGGGCAAUGGAAUUCCCGGUGUAGUGGUGGAAUGCGUAGAUAUCGGGAGGAACACCAGUGGCGAAGGCGGUUGCCUGGAGCUUUGCUGACGCUGAUGCGCGAAAGCGUGGGGAGCGAUCCGG
rnacentral:rRNA from 1 species